UACGUAGGGGGCAAGCGUUGUCCGGAUUUAUUGGGCGUAAAGAGCGUGUAGGCGGUUUGGUAGGUCCGCUGUGAAAACUCGAGCUCAACCUCGAGACGCCGGUGGAAACCAUCAGACUAGAGUCCGGAAGAGGAGAGCGGAAUUCCUGGUGUAGCGGUGAAAUGCGCAGAUAUCAGGAAGAACACCCGUGGCUAAGGCGGCUCUCUAGUACGGUACUGACGCUGAGACGCGAAAGCGUGGGGAGCGAACAGGAUUGAGACCUUACCGUUGU
rnacentral:rRNA from 1 species